GACGAACCGUGCGAACGUUGUUCGGAAUCAUUGGGCGUAAAGGGUGCGUAGGCGGCGCGGUAAGUCGGGUGUGAAAUCUCGGAGCUUAACUUCGAAACUGCAUUCGAUACUGCCGUGCUUGAGGACUGGAGAGGAGACUGGAAUUUACGGUGUAGCGGUGAAAUGCGUAGAUAUCGUAAGGAAGACCAGUGGCGAAGGCGGGUCUCUGGACAGUUCCUGACGCUGAGGCACGAAGGUCAGGGGAGCAAACGGA
rnacentral:rRNA from 1 species